UCAAGAACGGUACCGUGUACGCAGGGUCCGGAUGGGAGAAAAUGUGUAAAGACCUUAUUUGUAAUAACAACUUUAAGACACGAAUUUUGAUUGGCCGACCAAUCAUCACCGGUUGUGGCUGAGACUGCGAGGGAAUAACAAGAUGGCGACAGAGACGAUGUAUAUACAGAGUCAGAAUGGAAAUUGCUCGAUUGAAGACGAAUGGCGUUUGACAUAUGCAGAAAUAGUGUGGGCAAUGCCUGCUUCAGCAACUUUCAAGACUAAGGCAUGUUCCUAUGCCACAUGGCAGUCAAAGAAAAAAAGGAAAUCACCCGACGUAAAAGAGGUGAAACAUAUAAAGACUACAUCUAGAUGAAGGAGGAGGAGAAGAAGUACUAUCCGUUACAAUCAUAAAAAGGUAAAUAAUAUAAUGUUUUUU